rnacentral:rRNA from 1 species
UACGUAGGGUGCGAGCGUUGUCCGGAAUUACUGGGCGUAAAGAGCUCGUAGGUGGUUUGUCGCGUUGUUCGUGAAAUCUCACGGCUUAACUGUGAGCGUGCGGGCGAUACGGGCAGACUGGAGUACUGCAGGGGAGACUGGAAUUCCUGGUGUAGCGGUGGAAUGCGCAGAUAUCAGGAGGAACACCGGUGGCGAAGGCGGGGUCUCUGGGCAUUAACUGACGCUGAGGAGCGAAAGCAUGGGGAGCGAACAGG